rnacentral:rRNA from 1 species
UACAGAGGGUGCAAGCGUUGUUCGGAAUUAUUGGGCGUAAAGGGCGCGUAGGCGGUGCGGUAAGUCUGUAGUGAAAUCUCUGGGCUCAACUCAGAGUCUGCUGCAGAAACUGCCGUGCUUGAGUGUGGGAGAGGGAUGCGGAAUUCCAGGUGUAGCGGUGAAAUGCGUAGAUAUCUGGAGGAACACCGGUGGCGAAGGCGGCAUCCUGGACCAUUACUGACGCUGAGUGAGCGAAAGCCAGGGGAGCAAACGGG